rnacentral:snoRNA from 1 species
AUUCCAUGAUGAGGGCACUUCUGUAAUAAUUCUUUGUACCUUUCCCAUGCCUCAUACAAGGACUCGUCAUCCAUUUUUUAGAAGGUAGUAAUUUAAUUCUGCAACU